rnacentral:rRNA from 1 species
GAUGAACGCUGGCGGCGUGCCUAAUACAUGCAAGUCGAGCGGACGGACGAGAAGCUUGCUUCUCUGAUGUUAGCGGCGGACGGGUGAGUAACACGUGGAUAACCUACCUAUAAGACUGGGAUAACUUCGGGAAACCGGAGCUAAUAUCGGAUAAUAUUUUGAACCGCAUGGUUCAAAAGUGAAAGACGGUCUCGCUGUCACUUAUAGAUGGAACCGCGCUGCAUUAGCUAGUUGGUAAGGUAACGGCUUACCAAGGCAACGAUGCAUAGCCGACCUGAGAGGGUGAUCGGCCACACUGGAACUGAGACACGGUCCAGACUCCUACGGGAGGCAGCAGUAGGGAAUCUUCCGCAAUGGGCGAAAGCCUGACGGAGCAACGCCGCGUGAGUGAUGAAGGUCUUCGGAUCGUAAAACUCUGUUAUUAGGGAAGAACAUAUGUGUAAGUAACUGUGCACAUCUUGACGGUACCUAAUCAGAAAGCCACGGCUAACUACGUG